rnacentral:rRNA from 1 species
GACGAACGCUGGCGGCGUGCCUAAUACAUGCAAGUCGAACGAGAGCGCCCGGUGCUUGCACUGGACAAUCUAGUGGCGAACGGGUGAGUAACACGUGGGUAACCUGCUCAUCAGAGGGGGAUAACAUCCGGACACGGACGCUAAAACCGCAUAGGUCUUCGAUCCGUAUGGCUUGAGGAGGAAAAGAGGCGCAAGCUUCUGCUGACGGAUGGACCCGCGGUGCAUUAGCUAGUUGGUGAGGUAACGGCUCACCAAGGCCGUGAUGCAUAGCCGACCGGACAGGGGGAUCGGCGACAUGGGAACUGAGACACGGCCAAUACUCCUGAGAGAGGCAGCAGAAGGGAAUCUUCCGCAAUGGACGCAAGUCUGACGGAGCAACGCCGCGUGAGUGAAGAAGGUUUUCGGAUCGUAAAACUCUGUUGUUGGUGAAGAACAAGUGCUGGAGUAACUGUUAGCGACUUGACGGUAUCUAACCAGAAAGCCACGGCUAACUACGUG